AAAUUAAACUUAUUGGACUGACACUGGUUAAUAAAGUUACAUAGGUUUUAGGUAUACAAUUCUAUAAUACAUCAUCUGUACAUUGCAUUGUAUGUUCACCACCCAAAGACAAGUCCCUUCUAUCACCAUAUAUUUGACCCAUUUACCC